AUUCAGUUUCACUUUUGUUCUCCUAUUUUUAUCAUGCUCUUUAGUCCUCUCAAAUUUCCGCUCUCAUCCUGUGUUUGUAGAAUAUAUGCAGUGAUCCUUGUGCUUAUGUUUGACUAGAGAACUGAACAUUAUUUAUUGAAGAUCAUCACCUAUAGUGAAAGAAAGCUUAGAAUGAGUGGGUGCUAGUUGAACGGGAUCUUCAUGAUGAAAUAAGAGCUCAUAGCAUGACCUUUUUUAUUAGCUUUGGACAUUGAAAGGUAAAUGUAAAUAUCACUGUAAGUGUUAUUUGAGU